rnacentral:lncRNA from 1 species
GAGCCAUAAAGAUGGUUUCGUCAUUUCAUAAAGCUCCCCCCCCCUCGAUUCUUACACUGCAAUGUUACACACUCUACUACUAAUACUGCUGCUAAUACUAGAUCUAGGAUACUGAUACUACUGGAGUAACACGACAGCCGGUACUACUACUAAGCGAGAAGGAACGAAGCCAAGGCUGGCACGAAGAAGAGCAGUUGCAGCUGCAUCAUCAUAUCGUUCAUUCAUUAUUUGGACGAACUAAUCAGCCAGAAAAACUAGCAGGAAAAAACAAGGGGGGGGCAUGCCGCAUGCAUGCGUGCUUGCUAGCCAAGCAGCAAGCAAGCAAGCAAAUCACACUCUGGAUCUC